rnacentral:lncRNA from 1 species
UGCAGUAUAGUUUUGCUGUGAAUCUAGCCAUGGAUUGUGUUAAUGAGUCCACUGUGUAGACACAACCUAAGGACUUCAUCACAUGGGUAAAUUUACCCGUUGUCUGACACUUUUACCAUAGUUCCGGAGUGGAGCCCACCAGAUCCCAUCAAACGACGAAGAGCUAUGUCCACGAAUUGUGGUGAAAGCAUCGUAUGAUGGAGCAACAAGAACACUUCCCGGGUUCUCAUUACCAGCAAUGAAGUUGUGCAGGAAGAAGAAGGCAUGCAUAACAAAGAAUACAGAAGAAUACAUACCCUACUGGAGAACCUAGAAAAGAAGGAUAAGGACCUUAUCAGAUGCAGUGAGAAAAGCGUCUUCUCCCCACUUCUUUCCGCUGCUAUCACAGAGUCCCACGGAGCCCAUCAUAUGAUGCAGGGCUACUUCCAGUGAGGCUCCGUUUCUGCAGCGUUGUGGCAGUGGAGCCUAGAGGAGUUCUCAUUGGAGAACAGAAGAAAAGCCGAAGAGGAAGUGGGGACAGACGGGGAAACUAUGUCAAAAGGCAGAGGACAGACCCAGAUGGGAGGGAAGAGAGCCAGACGAUUCCCUCCGCUGCCUCAGAUUUUUCCUGCUGUCCCCCGAUUUAUCCCUUCCCGUCUGAUAAGGUCCCUUGUUAGUUUGCAUUGUAUUUGUUGUACUAGAUCCAUAAAUUAGUUUACAGUUCUAUUGUAUCGUUUUAUGUUUUAUUAUGCUUUCCUGCCCUAUAUGUGUCUAUGCGUAUACACAAAGAUUUUAGAUUGUAAACCUAUGGCAGGAUCCACUGUUUUUGGUUGUUGUACUUGUAAAGAAUUAUUUAAAUAAACAGCAACAACAAUACAACAAAUGUAAUAUGUU